GGGGUGUACUGAUAUACUGUGUCGGUGACGUUUUUAGAAACAGAAACUCAGUCGAGAACCAAGCAGACAAACCUUGUCGAAAGCAGAUAUAAACUAAAAUGUCUUGUUAUCGUUUUUUCUUCGGAAACCUUCAAUGUCGCAAUUCUGCCUGUUGCCGGAUCGAAGAUCGAGGCGAUCGACGGACAGAAUGUGACAAUAUCCUUCGACAUCCAUGAAGUGGAGAAAGCAGAUAAAGUGAAGAUUAUUUUUAAAGAAGACAAGAAGGAAUAUUCUGUAGUUAUUGCUCAGCAGCCUUGGGUCUAUGAUGAUCCUCCUCCAGCUGGAGUUACACUCAAAGUUGGAGAAGAUCGUUUAUCUGUAAUCAUUCAAGAUGUGAACAUCUCCAGAUCAGGACUGUAUAUAGCACGAGUCUUCACUAGAGAGAAAGUGUCCGAGGUGAAUGCCACACUUGUCGUCAACAAAGCUCCAGUUUCCUCCACUACAUCUCCUCCACACUCCUCCAGCCCAACACCUCCUCGCUCCUCUGACCUACAGUGGCUUUAUGCUUUAAUUCCAGUCGUCAUCUUUAUCUUGUGCGUUUGCUUCUGGAAACACGAGAUGAUCCCGUGUUUUAAAAGAAAGAAAGAAUUGGGAUCCAGUUCCAGUGUGUCCGUCUCCAUGAACGGUGGAGGAGAAACUGCUGCAGCUCUUCUCACGGUUACCUGAGUGUCUUAAAACAUGAAAUAACAUUACAAUCACUUCAGCCUUGUUCAAAAUGUCAGGCUAAAUCAGAUUUUGUGCAUAUCUGAUCUAUUUGGUAAAUGUAAACUACAAUAAAAAUGUUACGUAUGGCUCCUUUAAACAUAAACCCCUGGUUUCACAGACCAGACUAAAAUACAUGUUUGAGCUUUUACCUGAGAGCAACUCGCACUGACAUUUCUAAAAACAUGUCUGUGUCAUGUCUUGUUGUCUCGAGAUACUCGCCAGUAAUGUUUUAUCUAAGACUCGUUUAUAAAAGCUAGUCCUUGAACUAAGGGUUAAUCCUGACUUAAUCGGAACUCUGUCUGUGAAACCGAGCACAAAUCUCUUCGUCCAGCAUUAUGGAAAGACAACAUCUGUGUGUAAAACUCCUCAAUGAUACUGGUGUUGUUUUAUAGACACACACACUAAUGCAGGUCUUCCAGAAAAUGAAAGACAAACAAUCAUUUAGAUCAGAUUCUAAUCACAGAUGAUCUGAUUCGGAUUGAGCAUGAAUGUAGUUUUAGAUGCCAAUGAAGUGCCAAUUUAUCAGAUGCAGUUAUUAUUUCACUGUGGUGUUUGUGUUAAAGUACACAGAUGAAGUAUGCGCACAGAUGUGAAAUGAAGCGAACAGACAGACAAUGUUUUACAUCAUCAGCUGGAAGAACGUCAUUAAAAAUAAAGUUUAUCCAUGAAGUCCUAUAGGAAUCCAGAGGAAGCUUAUGCAGCGACUGUCUUCUUC